rnacentral:misc_RNA from 1 species
UUGUGGCUAUUGCAGGCGAUUGAAUGGCUGCCUCGUCCAAAGAGUGCACAUUCUGUUUUGCUGUAAUUAAUUUUACGUUACUUGGUGAUUUACGCGUGAAAGAUACUCUGCCUCGUAUAAUUUGGAAUAUUGAAAUCACAGCAACAUCAGCAGCAACAGCAAUAGCGAUAGCAAUAGAACUAGCAAUAUACGAAAUUUUGAAAUGGAAAAGAGCGCGGACGGAUUAUUGUUUCGCGCAGAGAGAAAUAAUGGGGCUAAUGAAGGAACAAUGGGAAUGGUUUGCGAUGAAAAAGUGGCCAUUUUGGAUGCUGGGGCACAAUAUGGUAAAGUGAUAGACCGAAAAAUUCGUGAACUAAAUGUUCACAGUGAAAUUUUGCCUCUUGAUACAUCCGCGUUUACCAUUCAGGAAAAAGGCUACAAAGCUAUUAUAAUUUCUGGAGGGCCAAGUUCCGUAUACGCAGAAGAUGCACCUAAAUACGAUGCAGACAUUUUCAGAAUAGGAAUACCAGUUUUAGGUAUUUGUUAUGGGAUGCAGAUGAUGAACAAAGAAUUUGGUGGUACGGUGAUCAGCAAGGAGGGUCGAGAAGAUGGUCAGUUUCCGAUAGAAAUAGAUUCCAAGUGCCUUUUAUUUAAGGCCUUGGACAAGGAACAAAUGGUACUUUUAACUCAUGGAGAUAGUAUAGAUAGGGUGGCUGAUAGUUUUCACGUUACUGCCAGAUCGUCAAACUUUAUAGCAGCGAUAGCGAGCGACAAAAUGAAUUUAUACGGGGUACAAUUUCACCCAGAGGUUGAUCUUACACCUAAUGGGAAACUGAUGUUAAACAAUUUUUUAUUUGGUAUUGCUGGUCUUACGGGUAACUAUACGCUUCGUGGUCGGGAAGCACAGUGUAUUCAAUAUAUCAGAGAUACUGUUGGCAACAAGAAAGUUUUGUUGUUAGUGAGCGGCGGUGUGGAUUCCACAGUAUGUGCGGCGCUGUUACAUAAAGCUUUAAAUAAGGAUCAAGUCAUAGCUCUGCAUAUCAACAACGGCUUCAUGCGGAAAGGAGAGACACAAUUUGUGGAGCAAAGUUUGGCAGAUUUAGGAAUCCGACUGAGAGUAGUCAAUGCCGUACGUUGGUUCAUGCAAGGAACCACAUCUGUUCCGUUGGACAAUGUCACUCCGGUAGUCAACGCGAACACCGUGAACAACAAAGGAAUAUGUGGAACAGCGACAAGCCCAAGAACUAGAUUAACUAAAGUGCUGUGUGCAACAACAAAUCCGGAAGAAAAGCGAAAAAUUAUAGGUGACGUUUUUGUAAAGGUAGCAAACGAAGCAAUGGCAGAAAUGGGUUUAAAGCCAGAGGAAGUGUUUCUUGGGCAAGGCACUCUUAGGCCUGAUCUUAUAGAAAGUGCAAAUGCAUUAGCUAGUGGUAAAGCGGACGCGAUAAAGACACAUCACAACGACAGUGAUCUCGUUAGAGCUUUGAGAGAACAAGGACAGGUAGUAGAACCAUUAAAAGAUUUUCACAAGGAUGAAGUAAGACAAUUAGGACGCGACCUUGGAUUACCGUCAUCGCUAGUAUCUCGUCAUCCGUUUCCUGGACCGGGGCUCGCUGUACGUAUUCUUUGCGCGGAGGAACCUUACAUGGAUAAAGAUUUCCCAGAAACGCAGGUGAUAGUCAAAAUAAUGGCAGAAUACGAACAAAUGCUCCAAAAGAAACACGGACUAUUAAAUCGCGUAGAAGAUGCGACUAGUGAAUCCGAACGCCAAUACUUGCGACAAUUGUCUAGUUAUCGUCAUAUCGCUGCAACGCUUUUACCUAUACGUAGUGUAGGAGUACAGAGACCAAACAUUUGCUCUAAGAAAAUAAAUGUCAAAACAGUGUGAGGACCUAAACGAGCAUAGUAAGGGAAGAAACCUUUCCAUAAUGAGAACAAUCCCUCAUUUCUACACACUUGAACAAUGACAUCUAUUGCACCUUUAAACUCUGGCUUACCAUCCACAAUUUUCAUGUUUUGAAUCCUCAAUAUCAACUGGCAUAGAAGCAGCAGUUGUUACUAAACCUGAUAUCAUGGAACUUACAAAGUGUAAUGAAAUACCCUCUUCAAAAUACCCUAUUUAAACAAAAUAAAAAAAAGGAAUAUAACUAAUCA